UCGGGAAUAUUGGACAAUGGGCGCAAGCCUGAUCCAGCCAUGCCGCGUGAGUGACGAAGGUCUUCGGAUUGUAAAGCUCUUUUAGCAGGGAAGAUAAUGACGGUACCUGCAGAAUAAGCCCCGGCUAACUUCGUGCCAGCAGCCGCGGUAAUACGAAGGGGGCUAGCGUUGUUCGGAAUUACUGGGCGUAAAGCGCACGUAGGCGGAUUGAUAAGUUAGAGGUGAAAUCCCGGGGCUCAACCUCGGAACUGCCUUUGAUACUGUUAGUCUCGAGUCCGAUAGAGGUGAGUGGAAUUCCUAGUGUAGAGGUGAAAUUCGUAGAUAUUAGGAAGAACACCAGUGGCGAAGGCGGCUCACUGGAUCGGUACUGACGCUGAGGUGCGAAAGCGUGGGGAGCAAACAGGAUUAGAUACCCCCGUAGUCCCUGAG
rnacentral:rRNA from 1 species